UGCUUAAUUGCGUUUCAAAAUUUAAACCUGAGCGACAAGGUGCUGCUAUCGAAACUGUCUUUGGAGUGUGAACUAUAAGUCUUUUGACUUAUGACCAUCACUCUAGACGUUUAUGUUUUGGUGUUGGCCCUUGAUGCUCAUUUGAACGCAACGGACGUGAUUGCAACCCCUUGUUGAGAUUUAUCCGAUCUCUACGUUCACUGAACCACACUCUUUAGCGAGAGCAGUGGGGAUGUGGAUAAACUCGGGGGACUGCUGACUAUAAACUUUUCUCAAACCAGAGGAAGGUUGCGGCAAUAACAGGUCUGUGAUGCCCUCAGAUGUUCCGGGCUGCACACGUGCUACAUUUAGUAGCGCAGUGUGCACAUUAAUAGAGUGAUAGGUUCCGUGGUUUGUACAUUUUAAGGGCUCGUCCUAGUAACCAAAGCUCCACGGGACAUAUCAACCUUCCCCUUACAGGGCGGGUAACCUCUUCGAAGUGCUGGCAUGAUUUCCCUAGUUUUGGCAUUUGAAUCCUUGUCGCAGCAGCCCUGAGACGUAGUGAACGCUGCAAAGUGAUUCCAGUCUUAGGUUUGCGACACAUGCAAUUCCUGGUUGACUCAUCGUGGGGACUGAUUCUUGUAAUUAUUUUUCACGGUUCAACCAGGAAUGCCUUGUACCGGCGGCUCAUUAAACCGCUGGGAAUACGUCCCUGCCCUUUGUACACACCGCCCGUCGCUCUU
rnacentral:rRNA from 1 species